GGUGAGAUGGCCGAGUGGUUAUGGCGCUGCGUUCAGGUAUACCUGGAUCUUCCUGGAUCUGAAAUCAGAUCAUCAAGAAUUUCGCAGUGGAGCAAUCCGCGUGGGUUCGAGUCCCACUCUCAUCA